rnacentral:rRNA from 1 species
GAUGAACGCUGGCGGCGUGCCUAAUACAUGCAAGUCGAGCGAACAGAUAAGGAGCUUGCUCCUUUGACGUUAGCGGCGGACGGGUGAGUAACACGUGGGUAACCUACCUAUAAGACUGGGAUAACUUCGGGAAACCGGAGCUAAUACCGGAUAACAUUUGGAACCGCAUGGUUCUAAAGUGAAAGAUGGUUUUGCUAUCACUUAUAGAUGGACCCGCGCCGUAUUAGCUAGUUGGUAAGGUAACGGCUUACCAAGGCAACGAUACGUAGCCGACCUGAGAGGGUGAUCGGCCACACUGGAACUGAGACACGGUCCAGACUCCUACGGGAGGCAGCAGUAGGGAAUCUUCCGCAAUGGGCGAAAGCCUGACGGAGCAACGCCGCGUGAGUGAUGAAGGGUUUCGGCUCGUAAAACUCUGUUAUUAGGGAAGAACAAACAUGUAAGUAACUGUGCACGUCUUGACGGUACCUAAUCAGAAAGCCACGGCUAACUACGUG